AGUGAGCGCUGGCGGUAGGCCUAACACAUGCAAGUCGAACGGCAGCACAGUAAGAGCUUGCUCUUACGGGUGGCGAGUGGCGGACGGGUGAGGAAUACAUCGGAAUCUACUUUUUCGUGGGGGAUAACGUAGGGAAACUUACGCUAAUACCGCAUACGACCUACGGGUGAAAGCAGGGGAUCCUCGGACCUUGCGCGAUUGAAUGAGCCGAUGUCGGAUUAGCUAGUUGGCGGGGUAAAGGCCCACCAAGGCGACGAUCCGUAGCUGGUCUGAGAGGAUGGUAAGCCACACUGGAACUGAGACACGGUCCAGGCUCCUACGGGAGGCAGCAGUGGGGAAUAUUGGACAAUGGGCGCAAGCCUGAUCCAGCCAUACCGCGUGGGUGAAGAAGGCCUUCGGGUUGUAAAGCCCUUUUGUUGGGAAAGAAAAGCAGCAGGUUAAUACCCCGCUGUUCUGACGGUACCCAAAGAAUAAGCACCGGCUAACUUCGUG
rnacentral:rRNA from 1 species